UACGUAGGGUGCGAGCGUUAAUCGGAAUUACUGGGCGUAAAGUGUGCGCAGGCGGCACCGCAAGUCGAGUGUGAAAGCCCCCGGGCUUAACUUGGGAAUUGCGCUCGAAACUAUGGUGCUGGAGUGUGGCAGAGGAAGGUGGAAUUCCACGUGUAGCGGUGGAAAUGCGCAGAGAUGUGGAGGACACCGAAGCGCAGGUGUGAGCCUCACGGCCAAC
rnacentral:rRNA from 1 species